AGCGAACGCUGGCGGCAGGCCUAACACAUGCAAGUCGAACGAACUCUUCGGAGUUAGUGGCGGACGGGUGAGUAACACGUGGGAACGUGCCUUUAGGUUCGGAAUAACUCAGGGAAACUUGUGCUAAUACCGAAUGUGCCCUUCGGGGGAAAGAUUUAUCGCCUUUAGAGCGGCCCGCGUCUGAUUAGCUAGUUGGCGAGGUAAAGGCUCACCAAGGCGACGAUCAGUAGCUGGUCUGAGAGGAUGAUCAGCCACAUUGGGACUGCGACACGGCCCAAACUCCUACGGGAGGCAGCAGUGGGGAAUCUUGCGCAAUGGGCGAAAGCCUGACGCAGCCAUGCCGCGUGAAUGAUGAAGGUCUUAGGAUUGUAAAAUUCUUUCAGCGGGGACGAUAAUGACGGUACCCGGAGAAGAAGCCCCGGCUAACUUCGUG
rnacentral:rRNA from 1 species